rnacentral:lncRNA from 1 species
UUUCCUUUCCCCCUCUCUCUCUCUCAUCACUCUCUCUUCUCCCUAUCCCUCCAUCGCCCAAACCCUAGCGUCGCUAGUCGGAAAUCACCCCAUGGAGGUGGCGCACCACAAAACCACCCCAUUUGUACAUCGUUCUCUUCAUCUCUUCAUCCUCUAUACCUAAAUCUCCAAAAUCAAUCCCAAUCUCCGUAAAUAAAAAACUAACUAUAACCCUAGCUGCUAACCGACUGCCGCUUACCACCGUCAAAACCCCACAAAUCUUACAUCAUCCUCUUUAUCUCACCCAUCUCUUCAUGAAUUCAAGCCCUAUUUCCUUCAAAUCCCUCUCAAUCCCUCGAAUCUGGCGACCACCCCUACUGCAUUACCGCUACUAACCAAACCACCAUCCAAACACUGCACAUUUACCACCAAAAUCACCAUUAUUGAUCCUCUGCCCUUGGUCUAUCUCGUGAAUCGAAGCACGAUUUAUCGUUGGUGAUAUCAUAACUGACCACUGGAUUGCCAGAAUUGACAGCCACGAUUCACCAAUUAGAAAUAGUGCUUGAAGUUCACAUCCCUGUCGUUUUGAUAUUCCACCACUAUUUGGGUGCAUUCGAACUUAUGUAUACCUUAAUCCUUCCCCUUCGUUGUUCUUCUAUUUUGCUCUGCGCAUAUUUUAGGUGCUAGUUUAAUUUUAGUUUCUUUUAUUUUAUCUUUCUAGUUAGUAUGAUAUUGUUUUAUGAUUUCAUGCUUAGUUGGUAUUUUGUUGUAUCUUGUAUGAAUUGUCAAAGUGUGAUUUCUGAUGUUACUGCUCGUUUAAUGACGUGUUUAACUUGUUCAAACAACAUAAUCGAGCAAAAUUUUAUUAUUGUCAUUUUUCCCCUUUUUUACGAGCAAACGUUUAUCAUUGUCAUGUUUUCCCCCUUCUUAGUUCACCUUUGAUUAAUCGGUAAAUUAAUAACUUUGCUUACUCUAUAUUUGAUCAAUGAAUGAAUAAGUUGAUAUAGUUGGUAUUUGCCUUUUGUAAAUUGGCCAUUUAGUUUAGCUCGUUGACUGGUUAGGUUAAGUGUUUACAAUCGUGUUAGUCUCUUAUUAGUCCAAAUGUGAUUAGACCAUCUCCAAGGCUACUCCAUUUCUUGCACCAAAUCCAAAUUUGGUGCAAGAAAUGGUGUUUUUUUGCUCCAAUGCAACACUAAUUCUUGCACUAUUAUAGAGCAUGAAUAGUUUUGCACCAAAUUUAGUGCAACACUAUUCAUCGCUCUAAAUUUGGUUUAAUAUUAUUUUAUUCAAUCUUUUUAUUUUGUGGACUUUUAAUUUAUCAUAUAUUGUGUAUAUAAUUAAUUUAAUUUAUAUCCUAUUUUUUGAUAUAUUAAUUUUUGUAUAUAUUAUAUUUAUAUAAAAUUAUAAGUUAAUUUUAUUAUUAUUAUAAUUGUAUAAAAAGAAAUAUAACCAUUAUUUAAAUUUGACUAUGAUGUAAUAUUUAUUUAAUUAUCUUUUAUCAAUGAUUUCACUUUUAAUUAACUUAUCCUUUAAAAUAAUUUUAUAAUAAAUGAUUAUAUAAGUGGUGAAUGUGAAUUAUAUAUAAUGAAUAUGGAAAAAAGAAAAAAAGAUAGUAUUAGUUUGAAGGAAAUAAAAAAUGAAAAGUAAAUUAAAGAUAAUAAUAUAAUAUAAAAGAGAGAGAAGAUUUGGUAUAAAAAAUGGUGUAAUGGUUGGAGUAAAUUAGGUGUUACACUAUUUUGGCGUGAAAUUUGGUGCAAGAAAUGGUGCUAGCCUUGGAGAUGGCCUUAAAAUUUAGCCUUUUGUAGUUUAGUUACUGGUAUUGGUAAAAGCUGAAAGGUAGAUGGGUGUAAUCAUGAAUUAGAGUGCAUAAUAGGUUUGUUUUUUACUAGUACUAGUAGGGUGGCUAAAAGUACAUUUUCUUUCACUCUUCUGCUACAGUAGGUUGGAGACUGUCCUCUGCCUUUUUUGUUUGACAAGACCUUGAGUAGUGUUUUGGCACAUCAAGUCAGUCUUUUUGGACAGACUUUUGGUGAAACAAAAUCUAUCCAAAAAAUUGCUUUUUUUGCCUACUUAAGAGGUCCUCUUUUUCACGCUUUAACACACAUUUUCUACACAUCUUUCACACAUUAAAGACACAACCUUGAGAGUAAAAGAGAGCAACUGAACACCUUAUAGAAAGCUAGAAAAUUGUGAUCUUUGGUGAGUGAUUUUUUAGAGUGCAAAAACUUUGAGAAAAGUAGAAAAGCCCUUUAGAAAAUUUGUGAAGUUGUUAGCUACUAGUUUAAAGCAUCUCACUGAGAUUUUUAGGUUGUUCUAACAUUGAUUAGUUGCUGGUUCUGCUGCAAUUCUUGCUUAUUCUAAUGCUAUAUUUUUAUAAUUCUGUGACCCAAGUAACUCUUUAAAUUUGUAUUGCAGAUUCUUUCAUAGUAAUAAAGAUGUGAACUCGAUUUGGACUGAUAUGUUUUCUUUACAUUUGUAGCUGAGGUUGUAUUCCGC